AGUCGCCACGGUAAUACGGAGGGUGCAAGCGUUAAUCGGAAUUACUGGGCGUAAAGCGCACGCAGGCGGUCUGACAAGUCAGAUGUGAAAUCCCCGGGCUUAACCUGGGAACUGCAUUUGAAACUGUCAGGCUGGAGUCUUGUAGAGGGGGGUGGAAUUCCAGGUGUAGCGGUGAAAUGCGUAGAGAUCUGGAGGAAUACCGGUGGCGAAGGCGGCCCCCUGGACAAAGACUGACGCUCAGGUGCGAAAGCGUGGGGAGCAAACAGGAUUAGAUACCCGGGUAGUCCCUGUCUCUUAUACA
rnacentral:rRNA from 1 species